GACGAACGCUAGCGGCGUGCCUAAUACAUGCAAGUAGAACGCUGAAGCGAGGAGCUUACUCUUCUUGGAUGAGUUGCGAACGGGUGAGUAACGCGUAGGUAACCUGCCUUGUAGCGGGGGAUAACUAUUGGAAACGAUAGCUAAUACCGCAUAACAAUGGAUGACACAUGUCAUUUAUUUGAAAGGGGCAAUUGCUCCACUACAAGAUGGACCUGCGUUGUAUUAGCUAGUAGGUGAGGUAAUGGCUCACCUAGGCGACGAUACAUAGCCGACCUGAGAGGGUGAUCGGCCACACUGGGACUGAGACACGGCCCAGACUCCUACGGGAGGCAGCAGUAGGGAAUCUUCGGCAAUGGGGGCAACCCUGACCGAGCAACGCCGCGUGAGUGAAGAAGGUUUUCGGAUCGUAAAGCUCUGUUGUAAGUCAAGAACGGGUGUGAGAGUGGAAAGUUCACACUGUGACGGUAGCUUACCAGAAAGGGACGGCUAACUACGUG
rnacentral:rRNA from 1 species